CACGUGCUACAAUGGCAUAUACAAAGAGAAGCGACCUCGCGAGAGCAAGCGGACCUCAUAAAGUAUGUCGUAGUCCGGAUUGGAGUCUGCAACUCGACUCCAUGAAGUCGGAAUCGCUAGUAAUCGUAGAUCAGAAUGCUACGGUGAAUACGUUCCCGGGCCUUGUACACACCGCCCGUCACACCAUGGGAGUGGGUUGCAAAAGAAGUAGGUAGCUUAACCUUCGGGAGGGCGCUUACCACUUUGUGAUUCAUGACUGGGGUGAAGUCGUAACAAGGUAACCGUAGGGGAACCUGCGGUUGGAUCACCUCCUUA
rnacentral:rRNA from 1 species